ensembl:lncRNA
GGCCCUGCCCACUUUCCGGAGCAUGCAGGCAGGAGAAAGGGCUCCUACACCACGUUCCAGCAGCUCGCAACCCCCCACCCCCACCCCCCGCCAUGCGUCCAGGGCCUGGGCUCCAUCAGCCCAACCAGUCCCUGCAGACAUCACGUUUCGCUCGGCUCGAGCGAGAGGAGGAAGCAAUGGUGUUCCCGAGCCGCCGAAGGCCGGCAGGUCCUUUCUGAGACAGCAGAGAGUUCAAAAACCACCUCAGUCACUAAGGUAAGCCACAGUAACUUGAUGCACUACUGAGAAGUCAUGCAUUCUCUUUUACCCUUGAAAACCCA